rnacentral:tRNA from 12 species
GCCCAGGUAGCUCAGUUGGUAGAGCAGCGGACUGAAAAUCCGCGUGUCGCUGGUUCGAUUCCGGCCCUGGGCACCA